rnacentral:rRNA from 1 species
ACCGAACGCUGGCGGCAGGCUUAACACAUGCAAGUCGAACGCCCCGCAAGGGGAGUGGCAGACGGGUGAGUAACGCGUGGGAAUCUACCCAGUUCUACGGAACAACUGAGGGAAACUUCAGCUAAUACCGUAUACGCCCUACGGGGGAAAGAUUUAUCGGAAUUGGAUGAGCCCGCGUUAGAUUAGCUAGUUGGUGGGGUAAUGGCCUACCAAGGCGACGAUCUAUAGCUGGUCUGAGAGGAUGAUCAGCCACACUGGGACUGAGACACGGCCCAGACUCCUACGGGAGGCAGCAGUGGGGAAUAUUGGACAAUGGGCGCAAGCCUGAUCCAGCCAUGCCGCGUGAGUGAUGAAGGCCUUAGGGUUGUAAAGCUCUUUCAGUGGGGACGAUAAUGACGGUACCCACAGAAGAAGCCCCGGCUAACUUCGUGCCAGCAGCCGCAGUAACAC